GGAGAGACCGGCGCACGGGUGCGUAACGCGUAUGCAAUCUACCUUUUACAGGGGAAUAGCCCAGAGAAAUUUGGAUUAAUGCCCCAUAGUAUAUAAACUUCGCAUGUUGUUUAUAUUAAAGUUCCAACGGUAAAAGAUGAGCAUGCGUCCCAUUAGUUAGUUGGUAAGGUAACGGCUUACCAAGACGAUGAUGGGUAGGGGUCCUGAGAGGGAGAUCCCCCACACUGGUACUGAGACACGGACCAGACUCCUACGGGAGGCAGCAGUGAGGAAUAUUGGACAAUGGGCGCAAGCCUGAUCCAGCCAUGCCGCGUGCAGGAAGAAGCAUCUAUGGUGUGUAAACUGCUUUUGUACAGGAAGAAACACUCCCUCGUGAGGGAGCUUGACGGUACUGUAAGAAUAAGGAUCGGCUAACUCCGUGCCAGCAGCCGCGGUAAUACGGAGGAUCCAAGCGUUAUCCGGAAUCAUUGGGUUUAAAGGGUCCGUAGGCGGUCUAAUAAGUCAGUGGUGAAAGCCCAUCGCUCAACGAUGGAACGGCCAUUGAUACUGUUAGACUUGAAUUACUGGGAAGUAACUAGAAUAUGUAGUGUAGCGGUGAAAUGCUUAGAUAUUACAUGGAAUACCAAUUGC
rnacentral:rRNA from 1 species